CUACCUUACCCUGAGGACUUGGACAUUCCAGCGUAUCGCAGAACCGGAAUUCAGCUCCCAUUGCCCACAACAGUGCUUCCCUGCCUCAGGUUCAUAGAAAUGAUCCCUUCGUAACUCAGCAGCUCAUAUACAGUGAUAAAGUAUCAAGUCCAUCGUUUUCCCAAAUCAAGAGCAAUGCAUCCCACACAAAUGGGCAAGAAUUGCAGCUGACAGAGGAAUCUCCCUAUCUUUGAACCUUCAGGAUUUUGCAGUGAUGUCAAGGUUUACACCCAUGUCUUCACUCCCAAAAUUUGGAUUUGAGCCUCAGAUCUACUAUUUACUAACUCUAUGAUCUUUGACAAAUCACUCGAAUUCCUGAUGCCUUAAGAAUCCUUUGGUUCCUGAGCAGAGUGACACAGUCUCCUGCAGUUGAGGAUCAUUGAUCUAGAGCAUUGAUUACAACGGAAGGCGUCUAAAGGAUGAGGCAAAAGUGAAAGCCAGAUUAUGGUUGUAUGUUUUUCCUGUAAGCCACCACAAACCUUUUGUGCAAUGAGAUAGGUGAUGAAUAAAGCAUGGAUGAAUCCACGCAUUAGAUGAGUAUGUGAAGUGGAUAUGGAGAGCACAUAAGAACCAAGAGCAGACAGAGCCCUAAGGAAAGACCUGGCUGACCUGCCGGAAGGAAAAUAGGUAUUAGGAAUCCUGAAAACCAUACUUCAGAGGAUUAUGUAUCAAGAAAGUUGGGGUCUAGGUGAGAGUCUUGUGAUUUGGUUGAAUUAAAAUUAAUGCAGCACUUCCAGCCCUGCAGUCAUUCAGGAGUCCCCAACUUACUACCAGUGGGAGCCAGGUUGAGAACACACAGACCUCCCAGCCAGCUGUCUCUGUAUCUACAGAGUUGAACUGGACUUAGUUUUUGUAUGAUAUCUCUUGAAUGAACAAACUUGGAUAUUAUGGGGAAAAACUAUGUUUUGAUUUUAUAAAUGUUGUUAUUGAUAGGUGACAGGGAGGUAAUAACUGCUUAUUAGCAUUUAAUGUGUCUGAUCAUUCAAUUAAUCUUGUAGAAAUUACUCUUAGACUUUCAACAACAUGUAACUAUAAGCACAUAUCAUUUGUUUCAAUUUAAUACAGUGGCUGAAAAGGAUAUCUAAGAAUUGUUUGUACCUCUGGGCAUAUCUUAGUGAGAGACUUCUCAUAGCAUUUGUUUAAACCUUAUGAAAACUGUAUUUAGUCAUGGACUGACAUGAAUUGUUCAUUGGAUUCAUUAGGGAUUAUAUCUAAGAUAAGAUUUAUUGCAUUUAUAAUAAAAUGUGUGAAUGAAGAAAUUUGGUAGACACCAUGGUGAACCCAAGAGGCAGAGC
rnacentral:lncRNA from 10 species